CGCAACUCCAGAGCAGGCCUCCCGGAGGAAGGGCAGACGGAGGUGAGACGAACACUUAUUAAGCACUUGCUGUGUGCACCGACGCCUGUGAGUUUACACGCCUCUUCCCACUGAUCACACAACAGUCCCAACAGAACACCAUCACCUGCCCGGUUCAGUGCUGUUCCUCCAGAGCCUACAACAGCAAGUGUUCAGCAUAGAUUAACUGGACAAGAACAAUUAACUCCUUAUUAGCCGUAGGUCCCUAAUGUGAGGCAGAGGUGGCAUUUCCAGCCUCACGGAGUUGUGAAGAGGAUGAAAUGAGAUCAAGUCUGUAAAGGCCAACAAGAGAGCCUGGCAGUCAACAGGCACUAGGGAAAUGGUGAAAACCAGUCACCUGGGCCACAGAGGAGGAGCCUCCCCCUGCAAGAGCCCCAGGCCCCGGUGGCACGGUCCCCCCAGGCCGUGCUCCUGGGGCAGAAGGACGGGUGACAAGAGCCCACCUCUCCACCCCCUCUCCCACUCAAGCCAUAAAGCUUGUUGUUAAUGUUACGUGGACCCCCCCAUCCAAGGGGCACCCCUGCCCCACUCUGGGGCCCUCCACAGGUUCCUCGCCGGGGCUCCCCUCCCCUAGACCUUCUGCUGAGCAGCAGCCCUGCAGUGUGCCGACCCCUCCUGAGGCCCCCACCCUCCCACUGGCGCUCAAACCCACUCUUUCCAAGCACCGACUUAGUGAGCUGGGCUUUGCCGCUCAGCGGUCACGACCUCACAGUGCGGGCUCUGUGAGGCCACCCCCUCUGCUGCCCGCCUCCAAGCAGGACUUUACCUCACAAACCAGGUCAGAUGUUUGGUUUCCAAGGCACUCCAGAAAAGGACACCUGGCCACAGCAGUUCACCCACCCAUUCUUACACAAUUAUUUUGGGAAGUUCUUCUCAAAGCCCAACCCCGAGGCCUCAAGCUGCAGUGCCAUCCUCUCUGGUCUUGGGAAAGACCCGGGCAUAAAAAGGGUGACGAAGGAAAGGCUGGAGAUGCGGGGGAAGGGGAGGAGAGGAGGCUCAUUACACUCCGACUUCCCCGAACUCCCUCUAGAAGCACCCGACUGCCCAACUCACGCCUUAAAAACUUACUUUUACUUUCACCCAAUGUUCAGAGUCAAAGGAGCUGCAUUAACGGGUUUUCAGUGGGGGGAGAGGUGGGUGAGGCCAAGGGGAAUGAUGGUGGAGGCCGGAGAACAGACAACCCCACCCCACCCCCAGCCGUGUGCGGGGCCCGGGCCUGAAGGAAGUUUGGGGCCCGAGUCGACCCCGUCUCUCCUCUCUCCUUCUGUCGCGC